ensembl:processed_transcript
GCUAUUACUGAUGUGUGCUUUGAUUGAGAUUUAUUGAUGUUGACUUUGAACAAAUUGCCAUCAAGGAUCGUAACAUGAAAUGGGGCCUCGUCCCGGAUAUUUAUCUGAGACAUUAAAUAAGAUCAAUUAAGGUUCACGAGAUGAUGCGCGACUGAAAGUUCGCAUGGCACGUCUUUAUUAUGAUGCGCAAGAGCACACCCGUCGGGCUGAAAUUGACUUGCGUUUGCAGAUACGCAGACUCGAAAUCGAGGCUGAUACGCAGGUGAGACUGCGCCAGCUCGAGUUGGACGCUUCAAAGAAGGCUGCGGAGGCUAUUCAGCCAGUUCCAGCUUCUUCCUCUUCUUCAUAUGUAUCUCCGGUGUCGACUUCAUCCACUUCAAGUUUUGACG